rnacentral:rRNA from 2 species
UGGGGAAUAUUGCACAAUGGGCGCAAGCCUGAUGCAGCGACGCCGCGUGAGGGACGACGGCCUUCGGGUUGUAAACCUCUUUCAGCACAGACGAAGCGCGAGUGACGGUAUGUGCAGAAGAAGGACCGGCCAACUACGUGCCAGCAGCCGCGGUAAUACGUAGGGUCCGAGCGUUGUCCGGAAUUACUGGGCGUAAAGAGCUCGUAGGUGGUUUGUCGCGUUGUUCGUGAAAACUCACAGCUCAACUGUGGGCGUGCGGGCGAUACGGGCAGACUAGAGUACUGCAGGGGAGACUGGAAUUCCUGGUGUAGCGGUGGAAUGCGCAGAUAUCAGGAGGAACACCGGUGGCGAAGGCGGGUCUCUGGGCAGUAACUGACGCUGAGGAGCGAAAGCGUGGGGAGCGAACA